GAAAUGACACUGUUGAAACUCAUCAUCUCCGAUCUCCCUGCAAUCAUUCCCUAAUCUCCUGCAAUCCUUCAAAAGAAUCCCUUAAACCCUGUGGAAACUCAUCUUUCUUAUCGUCCUUAUCAACCCCAUGGAUCCAAUCACAGUCCUCAAUCUCCAAACCUGUAGAACCCCCAAUCCCAAGACGUCCCCAAAUCGUCUCUGCCGCUACUUCAACCCAAACAAACCCAUAACCCAUAAUCGUCUCGACCGCCAAUUCAACACAAACAAACCCAAAAGCAGUAUGGUGAGGAGGAUGAGGUUGACGACGAAGACGAUGUUCCAGAACCGGUGGGCUGUGGGAGCCUAAACUGGGUUUCAUUGAUUUGACCCAGAAGAAGAAGAUGACGAUGAUGGGUUGGUGAAUAAAGAGACCGGCGAUUGGGGGUGAUUUGUUUGGUGGGG
rnacentral:lncRNA from 1 species